UCGGAAAUGCUUCAUAGGCUUCGAAGCGCCGGCAAGAAAUUACGACACAUUAGCUUACAUGCUACAAUAUCACCAUUACAAUACACGUGGAUACAAAAAUAAGGACGAGUCAAAUCUCGCAGACGACACCGCAAGUUUACUACAGUCCGAGAGUGUGAGAGUGCUUCACGGCCUUCACGUGGUUACCCCCUCACUCCAACAAGAGGUUGUAUCACUUUCUUUCUCCGUGGAUCUACACUGUGGUGAGAGCUCACUUGGCCUCUGUGCAAAAGGCUGCUUUGAAUGAAGCAGACACUCCACUCAAGUCCAGAGGGGGAGGGAAUAGGAAGGAGAGACCUUUGCCCCCCUUACGAUGCACCCUACGGUUGCACUUGUGUACCUCUGCAAAAAAAAUCAACGAACCCACGGUCACUGUUGCGCGAAGGAACGCAACACGCGCAACGGAUAAAGAGCAAGGUAUUUGCGGAAGACUGGGGGCACCAACCUUGCAAGUCGGGAAGGAUGGAUUUCUGCAGGACACUGCGCAUCUUGCAGGUACGCCACGUGACAGCUUGGAGAA